AUUGAGAUAAAUUUCGAAUCAUCGAAAUAGAAGAAAUUAAAGAACGAGUGAUUCGUGCGAGAAGAUUUUAAAAAUAAUCGAUGCUCUUCUCAAAGCAACUCUGUUCUACCAGAUUGAAUGUUACUCCUUUCACUCUGUUUCUGCGUAUUGAAACACGCAUAUACUUCAAGCCACCUUUUAAAAUCGCACGUUCCCCAUGUUUGUGAAACAUUCGCACGGCCAACGCGAAAGAAAGCAACAGUUCAGCAUCCUCGAAGCCAAGGAAAUAUAAGAAAAUAUAAAGAAACGAAUUAAAAUCCUUCCGAUCACCGUUAAACUAGAUUAAACUACCUUUGCCAUAACGAUCCACAAUUUGACUCGAAAUCUAUCCUCUUGGGACAUGCGAUCUUACAGGAAGUCAGCUCAGCGUGUUUCCUCGUUUCAGUUCACCUGUUCUAGUCCAUCUGAGAAAGUUGGCGGCCCUUCGACAUGGUUGUUGACCAUCGUCUUUACCACCUUCUUCGAUCACGGUUCGCGCGCUCCCGAUCCCUCGAUUAAAAAAAAAAAAAAAAAAAAAAA